GACGAACGCUGGCGGCGUGCUUAACACAUGCAAGUCGAACGGUGAAGCGCCUUCCUUUUUGGUGGGUGUGGAUGAGUGGCGAACGGGUGAGUAACACGUGAGUAACCUGCCCCCUUCUUCUGGAUAACCGCAUGAAAGUGUGGCUAAUACGGGAUAUUCUGGGUCUGUCGCAUGAUGGGUCUGGGGAAGAUGUUGUUUCGGUGGGGGAUGGGCUCGCGGCCUAUCAGCUUGUUGGUGGGGUGAUGGCCUACCAAGGCGGUGACGGGUAGCCGGCCUGAGAGGGUGGCCGGUCACAGUGGGACUGAGGCACGGCCCAGACUCCUACGGGGGGCAGCAGUGGGGAAUAUUGCACAAUGGGCGCAAGCCUGAUGCAGCGACGCCGCGGGAGGGAUGGAGGCCUGCGGGUUGUGAACCUCUUUCGCCAGUGAAGCAGGCCUGCCUCGUUUGUGGGUGGGUUGACGGUAGCUGGAGAAGAAGCGCCGGCUAACUACGUG
rnacentral:rRNA from 1 species